UAGUACGAGAGGACCGGGAUGGAUCCACCUCUAGUGUACGAGUUAUGGCGCCAGCCGUAGCGCUCGGUAGCUAUGUGGAGCAUGGAUAAACGCUGAAUGCAUCUAAGCGUGAAGCCAGACCCAAGAUUAAUUCUGCCAGUGAGACUCGUCGUAGACCACGACGUUAAUAGGGUGGAUAUGUAAGUGCAGUAAUGUGCUCAGUUGACCACUACUAAUCAGUCCCUUGGCUUGACCAU
rnacentral:rRNA from 1 species